GAUGAGCGCUGGCGGCGUGCCUAAUACAUGCAAGUCGAGCGAACAGACGAGGAGCUUGCUCCUCUGACGUUAGCGGCGGACGGGUGAGUAACACGUGGAUAACCUACCUAUAAGACUGGGAUAACUUCGGGAAACCGGAGCUAAUACCGGAUAAUAUAUUGAACCGCAUGGUUCAAUAGUGAAAGACGGUUUUGCUGUCACUUAUAGAUGGAUCCGCGCCGCAUUAGCUAGUUGGUAAGGUAACGGCUUACCAAGGCAACGAUGCGUAGCCGACCUGAGAGGGUGAUCGGCCACACUGGAACUGAGACACGGUCCAGACUCCUACGGGAGGCAGCAGUAGGGAAUCUUCCGCAAUGGGCGAAAGCCUGACGGAGCAACGCCGCGUGAGUGAUGAAGGUCUUCGGAUCGUAAAACUCUGUUAUUAGGGAAGAACAAAUGUGUAAGUAACUAUGCACGUCUUGACGGUACCUAAUCAGAAAGCCACGGCUGACUACGUG
rnacentral:rRNA from 1 species